UACGGAGGGGGCUAGCGUUGUUCGGAAUUACUGGGCGUAAAGCGCACGUAGGCGGCUUUGCAAGUUAGAGGUGAAAGCCCGGGGCUCAACUCCGGAAUUGCCUUUAAAACUGCAUCGCUAGAAUUGUGGAGAGGUAAGUGGAAUUCCGAGUGUAGAGGUGAAAUUCGUAGAUAUUGGGAAGAACACCGAUGGCGAAGGCAGCCAUCUGGACCGACACUGACGCUGAGGCGCGAAAGCGUGGGGAGCAAACAGG
rnacentral:rRNA from 1 species